rnacentral:rRNA from 1 species
CCUACGGGAGGCAGCAGUAGGGAAUCUUCCACAAUGGGCGAAAGCCUGAUGGAGCAACGCCGCGUGGGUGAAGAAGGUCUUCGGAUCGUAAAACCCUGUUGUUAGAGAAGAAAGUGCGUGAGAGUAACUGUUCACGUUUCGACGGUAUCUAACCAGAAAGCCACGGCUAACUACGUGCCAGCAGCCGCGGUAAUACGUAGGUGGCAAGCGUUAUCCGGAUUUAUUGGGCGUAAAGGGAACGCAGGCGGUCUUUUAAGUCUGAUGUGAAAGCUUUCGGCUUAACCGGAGUAGUGCAUUGGAAACUGGGAGACUUGAGUGCAGAAGAGGAGAGUGGAACUCCAUGUGUAGUGGUGAAAUGCGUAGAUAUAUGGAAGAACACCAGUGGCGAAAGCGGCUCUCUGGUCUGUAACUGACGCUGAGGUUCGAAAGCGUGGGUAGCAAACAGGAUUAGAUACCCUAGUAGUC